UAUUAAACAAAGAAACAACAUUCAUCGUCGUGAGACGAUCUGGACGAGCUAACAAGUAAGCACAUCCCUAAUGAGAUCAGACAUCUUCGAAAACGUGGUCAAAGGAGUCAAUCGUGAUUUGCAACUCCUUUGUCUUGGUUUUAUUGAAACCAAAUAAAAUUAAAGAAUCCCUACAACUGGAGAAUCCUACAACCUAGCCGGGUAACAGGGAUUCUGCGGCAAUAAUUAUUGCUAUAUCAAAGGCACAUCGCAAAACCAACUCAAUUGAAUGGGGUUGAGUAAAAGAUACAUCGCAUACACUUGAAAAGAAACAUUAAAAAAACAAAAACAAAAAAAAAACAAAUUUGGCUCAAUGGAAAAUUAGAUUUCUCAAUAUUGUUACAUAUUAGAGGUUGGAAAGGAUGAAUGAGUCUCAUCGGCGCUUGCUCCACUUUCAACUAUAUAAUUAACACCCAUUGCUUUGUAUAAUAUUAUAGGUACUUUUCUUUGCUUAGUCACAUAAUUAGG